rnacentral:rRNA from 1 species
UACGUAGGCAGCGAGCGUUGUUCGGAGUUACUGGGCGUAAAGGGUGUGUAGGCGGUUUUCUAAGUUUGGUGUGAAAUCUCCCGGCUCAACCGGGAGGGUGCGCCGAAAACUGGGAGACUAGAGUGCGGGAUGGGAGAGUAGAAUUCCUGGUGUAGCGGUGAAAUGCGUAGAUAUCAGGAGGAACACCAAUGGCGAAGGCAGCACUCUGGGACGUGACUGACGCUGAGACGCGAAAGCGUGGGGAGCAAACAGG